ensembl:lncRNA
CAUCCCUAAGGUUGUGCUUGGUGCCUCCUGGCACCACAGCUGGACCCACAGCUGGAAAAUCAGGGCAGCAGUUCUGUCCCUUCCAUUAUUUCUGUCCUUUGCCAAAGAUUAAGGUCCCUCUUUUCUCAUGUGGGCGCUGCCUGAACUCUAAAUUUUCCCUGCGGAUAGAAAAGGCGAAAUUAUAUUGAGUAAGUUUCUUUUCCUAGGUUUGUGCAGGGGUUUUAUAAUAGUCUCCUGGAAAAAUGAGCCGACCCCUAUAAUCUACCUCCGUCAGGCAAUAUUUUUCCCUUAUUCUUCCCUGUUGGAAAACUGCCUGUGACCCCUUCCAGGUCCCCUCCCAGCAGCAGAAAGAAGGUGGCUUUGCAUUUCUCUGGAGCCUCUUCCGCAGCGAGGGAUGCGAGCACGCCCGAGGAGACGGCCAGGAGGCAGCUCCCCGCCAACGGGGACCAGAGUGCCAACAGAUCCCUCUGCAGCGACACAGAAAGCCUCGGGGGGAGCUGUGAAUCCCGAUCCCUGGACUCUCCCAGUUCUAGCCCAGGUGAGAGGUGCAAAAAAAAAAAUAAAAUUCUUGCCUAAUAUUGCCCCAAAAAACCUAAAAGAGGCAUAAAGCCCACACUGACCCACUUUGUGCACCACGAGGAUGAGAAGGGCUCUUUAUAUUUUCCUCUCCCCUCUAAGGAAACUCGAAUAGGAAGCUGUUGAAGGCUCCAUCCAC